rnacentral:lncRNA from 1 species
CAGCUUCAGCCUUUCCUCAGGGCAGCUCAGUAUAUUAAUUGUGGAAGUCCCAGCUACUAUGAAGAAAAUUUUAAAACUCAACUUUAAGAAGAUGUCAAAGAGAACUUCAGAGCUGAUUUUUCUUCAGAUUGCAUUUACUUGCUAUGUGAUUGAAGCAUUAAGAACUUGAAAGUCUCAUGGAUCAGGCCCAUCCUCAUUAGCACAUGAAAACAAGCACAACCAACUACUCAGGUACAUAGUCUGUGUGUGUCCAGGUGUUAGAACGUCAAUUCUGAUACUUCUUGUUCUCUUGAAGUUAAAAAUAAAACAAAGAAAUGUUAAUGGCUCA